rnacentral:rRNA from 1 species
UACGUAGGGUGCAAGCGUUUGUCCGGAAUUAUUGGGCGUAAAGAGCUCGUAGGCGGUCUGUCGCGUCUGCUGUGGAAAACUCGGGGCUUAACCCCGGGCCUGCAGUGGGUACGGGCAGACUAGAGUGCGGUAGGGGGAGAUGGAAUUCCUGGUGUAGCGGUGAAUGCGCAGAUAUCAGGAGGAACACCGGUGCGGAAGGCGGAUCUCUGGGCCGUAACUGACGCUGGAGGAGCGAAAGCGUGGGGAGCGAACGG